rnacentral:lncRNA from 1 species
AGUUUAAUUGAAGUCUGGAGCUGGCAUGUCAGUUAACUGCUAGUAGUCUGUUGUUAUUUAUGUAUUAUUGUCAUUUUGUUUAUUUUCUUUGAUUACAUCUUCUGACAUCAGACUCGGACCUCUCUUGAACUGAAUUUUAAUGUGCAUAUUGUUAUGCGUUUACUUUUCUACAUUGGCUAGAGGUAUAGGGGGAGGGUUGAGAUCUCACAAACAUGUUUAACCCCGCCGCAUUUUUGCGCCUGUCCCAAGUCAGGAGCCUCUGGCCUUUGUUAGUCUUGUAUUAUUUUAAUUUUAGUUUCUUAUGUACAAUUUGGAAAUUAGUAUGGCGUUCAUUAUCACUGAACUAGUAUAUAUUUGUUUAGGGGCCAGUUGAAGGACGCCUCCGGGUGCGGGAAUUUCUCGCUACAUUGAAGACCUGUUGGUGACCUUCUACUGAUGUUUUUUUUCUAUGGUCGGGUUGUUGUCUCUUUGGCACAUUCCC